AAACAACUAUUCUGGAAGCAGAUUUCAUCAAGAUGCAGGCAACCUUGGAGAAGGAGAGCAGAGAGCUUGUCUGUUCCAGCUUUCCAUGCAGUCUUUGCAAAGCAACAGCCCAGGACAGAAAUGGGAGGCGGUGGAUGUCCUGAAUCGGGGGCUGGGGCCGUGAUGCGUUGGAUGUGGGCUAAUAAACUGAGACUGAAUCCAGACAAGACGGAGCUUGGGCCUGGGAUACCUGAGGGACUGCCUGCUCCCAAGGGUUGCUGCCCGCUUGACGAGAUCAUCUGAGGGGGCUCUGCUCUGGAUGUUGAGAAUGAGGGAGGCUCGGUUGUCGUGCACGCGGGACAGGGCCUUCUCUGUUGCUGCCCCCAGGCUUUGGAAUGCUCUCCCAGUGGCCAUUCGCUCCUCGGACUCCAUCACAGUUUUUAGAAAGCUGGUUAAAUCUUGGCUUUUUAUUUUUACAUGAUUGUUUUAUUGCUGCUUCUGUGUGUUUUUAUCCAUGUAUAGUUUUUAUGCUUGUAUAUUAUAUAUUUUAAAUCAGAUUUGUUUUCAUAUUUUUAGCUUAAUUACUUUUAACUGGUAUUUUUAUUAUAUGUGUUUUAACUUUUGUGAACUGCCUUGGGAUUGUUUUUAAUGGA